rnacentral:rRNA from 1 species
UAGUUCGGGAUAGCCACUGGAAACGGUGAUUAAUACCGGAUACUCCUUCUUGUUAUAAGACAAGUCGGGAAAGUUUUUCGCUAAGGGAUCAGUCUAUGUUCCAUCAGCUUGUUGGUGAGGUAAUGGCUCACCAAGGCUAUGACGGAUAUCUGGUUUGAGAGGAUGAUCAGACACACUGGAACUGAGACACGGUCCAGACUCCUACGGGAGGCAGCAGUGAGGAAUAUUGCACAAUGGAGGAAACUCUGAUGCAGCAACGCCGCGUGGAGGAUGACGCAUUUCGGUGUGUAAACUCCUCUUAUUAGGGAAGAUAAUGACGGUACCUAAUGAAUAAGCACCGGCUAACUCCGUGCCAGCAGCCGCGGUAAUACGGAGGGUGCAAGCGUUACUCGGAAUCACUGGGCGUAAAGGGUGCGUAGGCUGGCUUUUAAGUCAGAUGUGAAAUCCAAUGGCUCAACCAUUGAACUGCAUUUGAAACUGAAAGCCUAGAGUUCAGAAGGGGCAGAUGGAAUUAGUGGUGUAGGGGUAAAAUCCGUAGAUAUCACUAGGAAUAUCAAAAGCGAAGGCGAUCUGCUGGGAUGAUACUGACG